rnacentral:rRNA from 1 species
CCUACGGGUGGCAGCAGUGAGGAAUAUUGGUCAAUGGACGCAAGUCUGAACCAGCCAUGCCGCGUGCAGGAAGACGGCCCUAUGAGUUGUAAACUGCUUUUGUACGAGGGUAAACGCAGAUACGCGUAUCUGUAUGAAAGUAUCGUACGAAUAAGGAUCGGCUCACUCCGUGCCAGCAGACGCGGUAAUACGGAGGAGUCAAGCGUUAUCCGGAUUUAUUGGGUUGAAAGGGUGCGUAGGCGGUCGGAUAAGUUAGAGGUGAAAUCCCGAGGCUCAACUUCGGAAUUGCCUCUGAUACUGUUCGGCUAGAGAGUAGUUGCGGUAGGCGGAAUGUAAGGUGUAGCGGUGAAAUGCUUAGAGAUCAUACAGAACACCGAUUGCGAAGGCAGCUUACCAAGCUACUUCUGACGUUGAGGCACGAAAGCGUGGGGAGCAAACAGGAUUAGAUACCCGAGUAGUC